GACGAACGCUGGCGGCGUGCCUAAUACAUGCAAGUCGAACGCAGUGGGGACGGGUGAGUAACACGUGGGUAACCUCCCAUCAGAGGGGAUAACACUUGGAAACAGGUGCUAAACCGAUACUGAUGGAUGGCCCCGCGGUGCAUUAGCUAGUUGGUGAGGUAACGGCUCACCAAGGCCACGAUGCAUAGCCGACCUGAUGGGUGGAUCGGCCACACUGGAACUGAGGUACGGCCCGUACGCCUACGGGAGUCACCAGUAGGGAAUUGUCGGCAAUGGACGAAAGUGUUACCGAGCAGCGCCGCGUGAGUGAAGAAGGUUUUCGGAUCGUAAUACUCUGUUGUUAGAGAAGCGGUAUCUAACCAGAAAGCCACGGCUAACUACGUGCCAGCAGCCGCGGUAAUAC
rnacentral:rRNA from 1 species